GUCCAGACUCCUACGGGAGGCAGCAGUGAGGAAUAUUGGUCAAUGGGCGAGAGCCUGAACCAGCCAAGUCGCGUGAAGGAUGACGGCCCUACGGGUUGUAAACUUCUUUUGUCAGGGAGCAAUUGAGUCCACGUGUGGUCUUAGCGAGAGUACCUGAAGAAAAAGCAUCGGCUAACUCCGUGCCAGCAGCCGCGGUAAUACGGAGGAUGCGAGCGUUAUCCGGAUUUAUUGGGUUUAAAGGGUGCGUAGGCGGGCUUUUAAGUCGGCGGUAAAAAUUCGGGGCUCAACCCCGUCCGGCCGUUGAAACUGGGGGCCUUGAGUGGGCGAGAAGAAGGCGGAAUGCGUGGUGUAGCGGUGAAAUGCAUAGAUAUCACGAAGAACUCCGAUUGCGAAGGCAGCUUACUAAACUGCCACUGACAUUGAUGCUCGAAAGUGUGGGUAUCAAACAGGAUUAGAUACCCGAGUAC
rnacentral:rRNA from 1 species